rnacentral:rRNA from 1 species
UACGUAGGUGGCAAGCGUUGUUCGGAAUUAUUGGGCGUAAAGCGCACGUAGGCGGCUUUUUAAGUCAGGGGUGAAAUCCUGGAGCUCAACUCCAGAACUGCCUUUGAUACUGGGAAGCUCGAGUCCGGGAGAGGUGAGUGGAACUCCGAGUGUAGAGGUGAAAUUCGUAGAUAUUCGGAAGAACACCAGUGGCGAAGGCGGCUCACUGGCCCGGUACUGACGCUGAGGUGCGAAAGCGUGGGGAGCAAACAGG